rnacentral:rRNA from 1 species
CGUAGGUGGCAAGCGUUAUCCGGAAUUAUUGGGCGUAAAGAGCGCGCAGGUGGUUGAUUAAGUCUGAUGUGAAAGCCCACGGCUUAACCGUGGAGGGUCAUUGGAAACUGGUCGACUUGAGUGCAGAAGAGGGAAGUGGAAUUCCAUGUGUAGCGGUGAAAUGCGUAGAGAUAUGGAGGAACACCAGUGGCGAAGGCGGCUUCCUGGUCUGUAACUGACACUGAGGCGCGAAAGCGUGGGGAGCAAACAGGAUUAGAUACCCUGGUAGUCCACGCCGUAAACGAUGAGUGCUAAGUGUUGGGGGUCGAACCUCAGUGCUGAAGUUAACGCAUUAAGCACUCCGCCUGGGGAGUACGGUCGCAAGACUG